GGUUAGGGUACGUACGUACUGGGCUCAGGAUGAACGCUGGCGGCGUGCAUAACACAUUCAAGUCGAACGGAUCAUGGGGCUUGCUCCAUGGUUAGUGGCGGACGGGUGAGUAACGCGUGAGUAACCUGCCUCUCGUAUGCGGGAUAACGUCUGGAAACGGACGCUAAUACGGCAUAAAACAGCGGAACCGCAUGGUUUUGCUGUCAAAGAUUUAUUGUACAGAGAUGGGCUCGCGUCCGAUUAGAUAGUUGGUAGGGUAAUGGCCUACCAAGUCUGCGAUCGGUAGCCGGACUGAGAGGUCGAACGGCCACAUUGGAACUGAGAAACGGUCCAGACUCCUACGGGAGGCAGCAGUGGGGAAUAUUGGGCAAUGGGCGAAAGCCUGACCCAGCGACGCCGCGUGAGGGAAGAAGGUCUUCGGAUUGUAAACCUUUGUUGAUGGGGAAGAAGAAAGUGACGGUACCCAUCGAGGAAGCCACGGCUAACUACGUGCCAGCCGCAGC
rnacentral:rRNA from 1 species